UGUUUCAAAACUCUCCUUGUAAGCUUUUUUCGUUUUGCAAAUGAUUCUUCCCGUUAACUCCCGUUACAAAAACGGCGAGGUGGCAGGCGGAGACAUACGUGGCUUAGUGUGACUUGACAAAAGGAGGGUUACGUGUCAAAAGAGUUGGGUUUCAGAGAAGUUAGAGAGUCAUGGUGUAAGAACAGAGACGAAGGUGAGUUGACGGUGAAUCACGGCAACGAAGUGUAAUCAACAGUUAGCGAAGGUUUUUGAAGGUGAUCGACGGUAGAAGAAGCGGUUUUUGGCUUGCGAUUGAGGGAUGAGUGUGUCAAUUGUAUUUCACCAUGGGGGUGAAUUUGUUACGGACUAUAUUUUGUAUUACACUGGGGGUCAAGAACACGUAGUAGUAAUGGGAUUGAUAGGGAUAGGUGGUGUUACUUCGAAGCGACUGGUAUACUAAAAGAGUUAGGUUAUGAUGAUCACCUUAAGUAUCAUUUAUGGUGGUAUGUUAUUGAAGAUGAUAAAUACAAAAGGAUUGUUGAUGAUAAUGACACUGAUAUUGUUGGUGAUUAUGUUAUUGAGAACAAACGUGUGGCUCAUUUAUAUGUUGAACAUUCAGUUAUAGGGAUGGUAGGUUCACAUGUGGGGUAGAGUUCUAUGGAUGUGGGGCAGAGUUCUAUGGACUUGGACAUGUCAGGGGGAGUUGGAGGUCAAGAAGGUCAUGUAGUUGAAUAAGGCACAAUGAAUGAAGCUGAUGGUGUAUGUGAUGAUGAAGAAAUGAGUGGUGAUGGUUCUGAUGACUAUAUGGGAAGUAGUGAAGAUGAAGCUGCUGGAGUAAGAUUGGAUGAUAGUGAAGAGGAAAAAGCUAUGGGCAUGAAUGAUGGGUUUUUAGUUGAAGAUGAUGAGACUCCUCCUAUAGUUGGUAAUGCAGUGGUAGAUAAAUUUGAAGUAGAUAAAAUAGUCACAAGGAAGGGGGG